GCCGGGGUGGCGGAAUUGGUAGACGCGCACGACUCAAAAUCGUGUUCCGUAAGGGGUGAGGGUUCGAUUCCCUCCCUCGGCA
rnacentral:tRNA from 1 species